GGUUAAGCGACUAAGCGUACACGGUGGAUGCCCUGGCAGUCAGAGGCGAUGAAGGACGUGCUAAUCUGCGAUAAGCGUCGGUAAGGUGAUAUGAACCGUUAUAACCGGCGAUUUCCGAAUGGGGAAACCCAGUGUGAUUCGUCACACUAUCAUUAACUGAAUCCAUAGGUUAAUGAGGCGAACCGGGGGAACUGAAACAUCUAAGUACCCCGAGGAAAAGAAAUCAACCGAGAUUCCCCCAGUAGCGGCGAGCGAACGGGGAGCAGCCCAGAGCCUGAAUCAGUGUGUGUGUUAGUGGAAGCGUCUGGAAAGGCGCGCGAUACAGGGUGACAGCCCCGUACACAAAAAUGCACAUGCUGUGAGCUCGAUGAGUAGGGCGGGACACGUGGUAUCCUGUCUGAAUAUGGGGGGACCAUCCUCCAAGGCUAAAUACUCCUGACUGACCGAUAGUGAACCAGUACCGUGAGGGAAAGGCGAAAAGAACCCCGGCGAGGGGAGUGAAAAAGAACCUGAAACCGUGUACGUACAAGCAGUGGGAGCACGCUUAGGCGUGUGACUGCGUACCUUUUGUAUAAUGGGUCAGCGACUUAUAUUCUGUAGCAAGGUUAACCGAAUAGGGGAGCCGAAGGGAAACCGAGUCUUAACUGGGCGUUAAGUUGCAGGGUAUAGACCCGAAACCCGGUGAUCUAGCCAUGGGCAGGUUGAAGGUUGGGUAACACUAACUGGAGGACCGAACCGACUAAUGUUGAAAAAUUAGCGGAUGACUUGUGGCUGGGGGUGAAAGGCCAAUCAAACCGGGAGAUAGCUGGUUCUCCCCGAAAGCUAUUUAGGUAGCGCCUCGUGAAUUCAUCUCCGGGGGUAGAGCACUGUUUCGGCAAGGGGGUCAUCCCGACUUACCAACCCGAUGCAAACUGCGAAUACCGGAGAAUGUUAUCACGGGAGACACACGGCGGGUGCUAACGUCCGUCGUGAAGAGGGAAACAACCCAGACCGCCAGCUAAGGUCCCAAAGUCAUGGUUAAGUGGGAAACGAUGUGGGAAGGCCCAGACAGCCAGGAUGUUGGCUUAGAAGCAGCCAUCAUUUAAAGAAAGCGUAAUAGCUCACUGGUCGAGUCGGCCUGCGCGGAAGAUGUAACGGGGCUAAACCAUGCACCGAAGCUGCGGCAGCGACGCUUAUGCGUUGUUGGGUAGGGGAGCGUUCUGUAAGCCUGCGAAGGUGUGCUGUGAGGCAUGCUGGAGGUAUCAGAAGUGCGAAUGCUGACAUAAGUAACGAUAAAGCGGGUGAAAAGCCCGCUCGCCGGAAGACCAAGGGUUCCUGUCCAACGUUAAUCGGGGCAGGGUGAGUCGACCCCUAAGGCGAGGCCGAAAGGCGUAGUCGAUGGGAAACAGGUUAAUAUUCCUGUACUUGGUGUUACUGCGAAGGGGGGACGGAGAAGGCUAUGUUGGCCGGGCGACGGUUGUCCCGGUUUAAGCGUGUAGGCUGGUUUUCCAGGCAAAUCCGGAAAAUCAAGGCUGAGGCGUGAUGACGAGGCACUACGGUGCUGAAGCAACAAAUGCCCUGCUUCCAGGAAAAGCCUCUAAGCAUCAGGUAACAUCAAAUCGUACCCCAAACCGACACAGGUGGUCAGGUAGAGAAUACCAAGGCGCUUGAGAGAACUCGGGUGAAGGAACUAGGCAAAAUGGUGCCGUAACUUCGGGAGAAGGCACGCUGAUAUGUAGGUGAAGUCCCUCGCGGAUGGAGCUGAAAUCAGUCGAAGAUACCAGCUGGCUGCAACUGUUUAUUAAAAACACAGCACUGUGCAAACACGAAAGUGGACGUAUACGGUGUGACGCCUGCCCGGUGCCGGAAGGUUAAUUGAUGGGGU
rnacentral:rRNA from 1 species